rnacentral:rRNA from 1 species
AGUGAACGCUGGCGGUAGGCCUAACACAUGCAAGUCGAACGGCAGCACAGGAGAGCUUGCUCUCUGGGUGGCGAGUGGCGGACGGGUGAGGAAUACAUCGGAAUCUACUUUUUCGUGGGGGAUAACGUAGGGAAACUUACGCUAAUACCGCAUACGACCUACGGGUGAAAGCAGGGGAUCUUCGGACCUUGCGCGAUUGAAUGAGCCGAUGUCGGAUUAGCUAGUUGGCGGGGUAAAGGCCCACCAAGGCGACGAUCCGUAGCUGGGCUGAGAGGAUGAUCAGCCGCACUGGAACGGAGACACGGUCCAGACUCCUACGGGAGGCAGAAGUGGGGAAUAUUGGACAAUGGGCGGAAGCCUGAUCCAGCCAUACCGCGUGGGUGAAGAAGGCCUUCGGGUUGUAAAGCCCUUUUGUUGGGAAAGAAAUCCAGCUGGCUAAUACCCGGUUGGGAUGACGGUACCCAAAGAAUAAGCACCGGCUAACUUCGUGCCAGCCGCCGCCGUAA